AGGGGGAGAUAAGACCGUCGUUUUGAAGUGUCUCGAUUGACUUAUUUUUUAUCCCCUCUGAUUUUGUGGAGUCUCUUCUGUCUGGUGAGUAACAGCACCCGCAACUCCCAGGGGCUCCGAUUCCUGCCCUGUCCAGCCCUGCCCCGCGUCAGUUGAAGGUACAAGACCAUCACGCUCCGCGACGAGGGGUACUGCCGCGGUGGAGGUCAGACCACGACUGGUCACAAAGGCAGUGACAGUUGGCCAGGACAAGGGAUGUGAGUGGCAAGAGGUCUUGAGAUACAGCGGAAGACAAAAGGAGAAAAUAACGAGUCUGCCUGCGGAGGGGCCAGCCAAGAGAACAAUGACGCCCCGAGAGAGCCGAAGCAGCUUCCCUUUCGACUGACGGUUCUUCAAACGCCUAUCUCUGGCUGCUAGAGAGGAACGCCGGCAGGGGCAGACUGUUGUGG